rnacentral:rRNA from 1 species
UGGGGAAUAUUGGGCAAUGGGCGCAAGCCUGACCCAGCAACGCCGCGUGAAGGAAGAAGGCUUUCGGGUUGUAAACUUCUUUUCUUGGGGACGAAGAAAGUGACGGUACCCAAGGAAUAAGCCACGGCUAACUACGUGCCAGCAGCCGCGGUAAUACGUAGGUGGCAAGCGUUAUCCGGAUUUAUUGGGUGUAAGGGGCGUGUAGGCGGGAAUGCAAGUCAGAUGUGAAACUAUGGGCUCAGCCCAUAGCCUGCAUUUGAAACUGUAUUUCUUGAGUGCUGGAGAGGCAAUCGGAAUUCCGUGUGUAGCGGUGAAAUGCGUAGAUAUACGGAGGAACACCAGUGGCGAAGGCGGAUUGCUGGACAGUAACUGACGCUGAGGCGCGAAAGCGUGGGGAGCAAACAGGAUUAGAUACCC